rnacentral:rRNA from 1 species
GACCUACGGGGGGCAGCAGUUUCGAAUCAUUCACAAUGGGCGAAAGCCUGAUGGUGCGACGCCGCGUGAGGGAUGAAGGUCUUCGGAUUGUAAACCUCUGUCACCGGGGAAGAAACGCUUUGAGUUAAUAGUUCAAAGCCUGACUUAACCCGGAGAGGAAGCAGUGGCUAACUCUGUGCCAGCAGCCGCGGUAAUACAGAGACUGCAAGCGUUAUUCGGAGUCACUGGGCGUAAAGGGUGCGCAGGCGGCGAUGUGGGUGAGGCGUGAAAGCCCGGGGCUGAACCUCGGAAUUGCACAUCAAACUACAUCGCUAGAGCAUUGGAGAGUGUAGCAGAAUUCACGGUGUAGCAGUGAAAUGCGUAGAUAUCGUGAGGAAUACCAGAGGCGAAGGCGGCUACCUGGACAAUUGCUGACGCUCAGGCACGAAAGCGUGGGGAGCAAAAGGGAUUAGAUACCCGGGUAGUCGAU